UGGAUAAGAGACAUCCGACAAUGGAUAGGGCUAUAUUUUGAACAGCUAAUAAGAACAGCGCUGAAGAAUAGUUUGCAAUUGUAGUAGCCAACCUCAAUUAAAGAGAGGGUACUUUAAGAAGAAGAUACAAUAGAAUCCAAACAACUUUUAUGGUACGGGCGUUUAAUGGGACUGAAAGAUGAUCGCUGGUCAAAACAGGAAUUAAACAAUGUUCCAUGGAGUUGAAGGAAAGGAAGACCAGCAUUAGAAUGGAGAGAAGGAAUCAGAGGAAUAAUGAGAGAUAGAGCCAGAAAUAAGGAGGAAUGGGCCGACCGAAAAAGGUGGAGAUCGAAGUGCGGGAUGCGGCAGAGGCCUUAGAUGCGGGUUACUUAUUGAUAUAAAAAAUGAUGAUCAAUACCUGCAGCUUGAAGAUUUUCCAAAAUCAUGACUGCAUCUCCGUCAGGUUCUUCGUUACCAUCAAGAUCGUAUCUGGCAGCAA